GAUCAUGGCUCAGGAUGAACGCUGGCGGCGUGCUUAACACAUGCAAGUCGAACGGGAAACAUUUCAUUGAGGCUUCGGCGGAUUUGAUCUGUUUCUAGUGGCGGACGGGUGAGUAACGCGUGGGUAACCUGCCUUAUACCGGGGGAUAACAGCCAGAAAUGACUGCUAAUACCGCAUAAGCGCACAGAACCGCAUGGUUCCGUGUGAAAAAACUCCGGUGGUAUAAGAUGGACCCGCGUUGGAUUAG
rnacentral:rRNA from 1 species